UGACAGUACUCCUACGGGGAGGCAGCAGUGGGGGAAUAUUGCACAAUGGGCGCAAGCCUGAUGCAGCCAUGCCGCGUGUGUGAAGAAGGACCUUCGGGUUGUUAAAGCACUUUCAGUCGUGAGGAAGGUAGUGUAGUUAAUAGCUGCAUUAUUUGACGUUAGCGACAGAAGAAGCACCGGCUAACUCCGUGCCAGCAGCCGCGGUAAUACGGAGGGUGCGAGCGUUAAUCGGAAUUACUGGGCGUAAAGCGCAUGCAGGUGGUUUGUUAAGUCAGAUGUGAAAGCCCGGGGCUCAACCUCGGAAUAGCAUUUGAAACUGGCAGACUAGAGUACUGUAGAGGGGGGUAGGAAUUUCAGGUGUAGCGGUGAAAUGCGUAGAGAUCUGAAGGAAUACCGGUGGCGAAGGCGGCCCCCUCGGACAGAUACUGACACUCAGAUGCGAAAGCGUGGGGAGCAAACAGGAUUAGAUACCCUGGUAG
rnacentral:rRNA from 1 species